AACGUAGGACACAAGCGUUAUCCGGAGUUACUGGGCGUAAAGGGCGUUUAGGCGGGUGAUUAAGUUCGCUAUGAAAGCGCCAGGCUAAACCUGGCGAGGCUGGCGGAUACUGGUCAUCUGGAGUGAGUCAGAGGAAGGUAGAAUUCCGCGUGUAGUGGUGAAAUGCGUAGAGAUGCGGAGGAAUACCAGUGGCGAAGGCGGCCUUCUGGGACUCAACUGACGCUGAAGCGCGAAAGCGUGGGGAGCGAACAGG
rnacentral:rRNA from 1 species